GAUGAACGCUGGCGGCGUGCCUAAUACAUGCAAGUCGAGCGAACGGACGAGAAGCUUGCUCCUCUGAUGUUAGCGGCGGACGGGUGAGUAACACGUGGAUAACCUACCUAUAAGACUGGGAUAACUUCGGGAAACCGGAGCUAAUACCGGAUAAUAUUUUGAACCGCAUGGUUCAAAAGUGAAAGACGGUCUUGCUGUCACUUAUAGAUGGAUCCGCGCUGCAUUAGCUAGUUGGUAAGGUAACGGCUUACCAAGGCAACGAUGCAUAGCCGCCCUGAGAGGGUGAUCGGCCACCCUGGAACUGAGACACGGUCCAGACUCCUACGGUAGGCAGCAGUAGGGAAUCUUCCGCAAUGGGCGAAAGCCUGACGGAGCAACGCCGCGUGAGUGAUGAAGGUCUUCGGAUCGUAAAACUCUGUUAUUAGGGAAGAACAAAUGUGUAAGUAACUGUGCACAUCUUGACGGUACCUAAUCAGAAAGCCACGGCUAACUACGUG
rnacentral:rRNA from 1 species